GUCCUUGGAAGGAGAGGCUCUUGUAGAGAAGGAAGAGACAUCAUUCUGACCCUGAAGUUUUAUCACUUUCCAAGUUGGUGUCAGAAGCGGGAUCCGAAGUGGAACUUCUAGCAGCCCCCCAGGACCACUGCAUGACCCACUUGUGUCCAUUGAUCUCUCAGAGCAGUUGGGGAUCCUGGGCUUCAGUAUGAGAAGUAGUGGUUGACAUGCACAGUCGCA
rnacentral:lncRNA from 10 species